GACGGAGGGUGCAAGCGUUGUCCGGACUCACUGGGCGUAAAGGGCGCGCAGGCGGUAGCGUGCGUCGGUGCUGAAAGCGCCCCGCUUAACGGGGCGAGGCGUGCCGAUACGACGCGACUGGAGGCAGGCAGAGGGUGGCGGAAUUCCGGGUGUAGUGGUGAAAUGCGUAGAGAUCCGGAGGAACGCCGGUGGCGCAAGCGGCCACCUGGGCCUGACCUGACGCUGAGGCGCGAAAGCGUGGGGAGCGAACCGG
rnacentral:rRNA from 1 species